rnacentral:lncRNA from 1 species
CACACGGGAAACCACACGUGGGCAGGGCUUGUUGGAAACAUGCUUGCGGACGUCCUGGGAGCUGUGAGAGCCUCGGCGAUGACGCGCUUUCGUCCCGCCUUCGUGUCCGCUUCCCUUUAUGGGCUCAUAAGGUCCUGGGAGCUGUGAGAGCCUCGGUGAUGACGCGCUUCCGUCCCGCCUUAGUGUCCGCCUCCCUUUAUGGGCUCAUGAGGCCGUGAGCGCUGUGAGAGCCUCGGUGAUGACGUGCUUCCGUCACGCCUUCUGUCCGCCGAUGAUGCGCUUCCGUCCCGCCUUCGUGUCCGCUUCCCUUUAUGGGCUCAUGAGGCCGUGAGCGCUGUGAGAGCCUCGGUGAUGACGCGCUUCCGUCACGCCUUCUGUCCGCCGAUGACGCGCUUCCGUCCCGCCUUCGUGUCCGCUUCCCUUUAUGGGCUCAUGAGGCCGUGAGCACAGUGAGAGCCUCGGUGAUGACGUACUUCCGUCACGCCUUCUGUCCGCCGAUGACGUGCUUCCGUCCCGCCUUCGUGUCCGCCUCCCUUUAUGGGCUUAUGAGUUUCUGCCUCAACUCCAGGCAUUUUUUUUUCUUUUGCCUCUAGCCCAGUUUUAGAAAGGACUAUGUCUUGGUCCUUCUUAAUGGUAUAAAAGAUAUCCUCAGCCCGCCAGAUGCUCCUGCAUUUGAGUGACGACACGCUUCUCUGGCUGUGACCAACUUUUCUCCCUUUCUUUUUAAAUGACAGGACUUCUUGUUCAAUACUUGCUGGAUAUGAAGAUCCAACCCAGUGCCUCCCAUUGCAUCCACUCCUCACACCACCGUCUCCAUGGCGUGACAGUUCCUCAGUUUUUCUUUGUUGUUCAUGACCUUCACCUUUUG